AGCCAUAUAUACAUGCUUGCUAGACUUUGAGCCACACAUUUACUAUUUACUGCUUAUGAGCAUUGAGUGUGGUCAAGCUGUGUAGACCCUUAGGAGCUUGUCAUGUGGUUAAAUCAAGAUUUCACUUGUACGUUCACUCAUAUAUGCUACUUCUACUCCGGAAGUAUCAUCCACAUAUAUCCAUCCAUUUCCAUCUCCAGAAUCACCCAAAAAUAUUCUACUCCUAAUCCGGGAGAGAAUAGCCAAAAAUAUUUUUGUUUUUCCCUUGUGAAAUAAAUGCUCAAGUUAUCUUGUUACUACCACUUGCUAUAUUAUUUCAAGAGAUGAGUGCUCUGAAAAAAAAACGAGGAAAUAAAAAGGAGCAAGUGCUCGGAACCUCGAAAGAAAAGAAAAAGUGAGACGAGAGGUAAAAAUGGACAAGUGUCCGACAGUAGAAUUAGGGGUACAAGAUACCCACCUGAGAGAAAAAAAAGAAGAGUAUCUCAUUCUCCUCAUAAAGUUUCAAAAAAAGCAAGGAAGGUAUGUAUCCCCUCAAAAGAGCAAAGUAGAAUUAGACUUCCACCAUUGUUAUCACCAUUAUCACCAUACACCAUUCAUUCGCCACACAUGCACAUCUUGAUUAAACUUAUUGAUUUGUUUCUUUGGAUCCAUGGUUUGACUAUGCAAUAAAUGUCUUGUAAGUAUGUAUAUUUUAUCUCCCACCUAUGAGCUCCAGAUAUUAAAGCCUUAUUAGAGUAGGGUGAGAGAGAAGGCAAUGUCACUAUGCUUUAUACCACAAAUACUACAUAUUUUGAGAGAAGGCAUAUACCAUCACUGCCUUGGUAAUGAUCCAGAAAUACCACAAAAGAGGGAUCUGAGAGAAUCAUACAAGGAAUCUCUGAGUUUUAUUUGAAAAUCUGCAAAAACCCCAGAGUUAUAGCUGAUCAAGAAUAAGAGACAUGGCACUUGACUAGACUGUUCUAUCUUUUAACC
rnacentral:lncRNA from 1 species